UACGGAGGGUGCAAGCGUUAUCCGGAUUCACUGGGGUUAAAGGGUGCGUAGGUGGACUAGUAAGUCAGUGGGGAAAUCUCCGGGCUUAACCCGGAAACUGCCAUUGAUACUAUUAGUCUUGAAUACCGUGGAGGUCAGCGGAAUAUGUCAUGUAGCGGUGAAAUGCUUAGAUAUGACAUAGAACACCAAUUGCGAAGGCAGCUGGCUACACGAAUAUUGACACUCAGGCACGAAAGCGUGGGGAUCAAACAGG
rnacentral:rRNA from 1 species